rnacentral:rRNA from 1 species
UACGAAGGGGGCUAGCGUUGCUCGGAAUCACUGGGCGUAAAGGGUGCGUAGGCGGGUUUUAAGUCAGAGGUGAAAUCCUGGAGCUCAACUCCAGAACUGCCUUUGAUACUGGGAAUCUUGAGUAUGGAAGAGGUGAGUGGAACUGCGAGUGUAGAGGUGAAAUUCGUAGAUAUUCGCAAGAACACCAGUGGCGAAGGCGGCUCACUGGUCCAUAACUGACGCUGAGGUGCGAAAGCGUGGGGAGCAAACAGG